AAAUUAAAUUAAAUUAAAUACCAUUCUGUAUUUAAGUAUUUUUUUCACAUAUGUUUUAUUUUUUUUUUUGUUAUACCGAAGUACAAGUUUUUGCCCCCACACCACCACACAUUAUAGAAGCUAUUUAUUGGCGAUUUGAAUCUUGACUUGUAGCUGCAAAGUGUCAUAAUCCAAAAAAUCAACUCAAGAAGAACGGCUUUUAAUGAACUACUGGGAAUCGUUAAUGUUUAGAAAUCUUUAUACAACAUAGAAGAACAGCAAAUGUGCGAUAUGAACAUUUUCUAUCCCAUACGAUGCUGGGAUUAAUUUCGUUGGCAUGUGGCGUGUGGCAGCAGCUGAUGCACGUAAGUGACGCUAUCAACCUUGGCAAUACAUUUGGCUACGAAAAUAAUCUCUGACGUAUUGCCGGUUCGAUUGUAUGUAAAAAUAAAUUCGCGAUUAAUCAGACAAAAAUGCAAGAAUACCUAGUAUAAUAAUUUAAUAAGAAAAGUUGCAGCAAUGUACACA